rnacentral:rRNA from 1 species
GAUGAACGCUAGCGGGAGGCUUAACACAUGCAAGUCGAGGGGCAGCACUGAUAGCAAUAUUAGGUGGCGACCGGCGGACGGGUGAGUAACGCGUAUGCAACCUACCCUUUACAGGGGGAUAGCCCGGAGAAAUUCGGAUUAAUACCCCAUAGAUCAGUGAUUCUGCAUGGGAUUACUGGUAAAGCUUCGGCGGUAAAGGAUGGGCAUGCGUCCCAUUAGCUAGUUGGUAGGGUAACGGCCUACCAAGGCAACGAUGGGUACGGGGUCUUAAAGGAUGGACCCGCACACUGGCACUGAGACACGGGCCAGACUCCUACGGGAGGCAGCAGUGAGGAAUAUUGGUCAAUGGGGGGAACCCUGAACCAGCCAUCCCGCGUGCAGGAAGACAGUUCUAUGGAUUGUAAACUGCUUUUCUUGGGAAGAUAAUGACGACGUGUCGUCAGAUGACGGUACCCGAGGAAUAAGCAAUCGGCUAACUCCGUGCCAGGCAGCCGCGGUAAAACGUAG